rnacentral:rRNA from 1 species
CCUCUUGACAUCCACGGAAUUUAGCAGAGAUGCUUUAGUGCCUUCGGGAACCGUGAGACAGGUGCUGCAUGGCUGUCGUCAGCUCGUGUUGUGAAAUGUUGGGUUAAGUCCCGNAACGAGCGCAACCCUUAUCCUUUGUUGCCAGCGGUUCGGCCGGGAACUCAAAGGAGACUGCCAGUGAUAAACUGGAGGAAGGUGGGGAUGACGUCAAGUCAUCAUGGCCCUUACGAGUAGGGCUACACACGUGCUACAAUGGCGUAUACAAAGAGAAGCGACCUCGCGAGAGCAAGCGGACCUCAUAAAGUACGUCGUAGUCCGGAUUGGAGUCUGCAACUCGACUCCAUGAAGUCGGAAUCGCUAGUAAUCGUGGAUCAGAAUGCUACGGUGAAUACGUUCCCGGGCCUUGUACACACCGCCCGUCACACCAUGGGAGUGGGUUGCAAAAGAAGUAGGUAGCUUAACCUUCGGGAGGGCGCUUACCACUUUGUGAUUCAUGACUGGGGUGAAGUCGUAACAAGGUAAGCGUAGAUGA